rnacentral:rRNA from 1 species
UCUGGCGGCCUCAGGUCGUCCGAGUUGUAGUCUAGAGAAUCGUUUUCCGCGUUGGCCUGUGUACAAGUCCCUUGGAACAGGGCGUCAUAGAGGGUGAGAAUCCCGUCCUUGACACAGAUUACCAAUGCUUUGUGAUGCGAUCUCGAAGAGUCGAGUUGUUUGGGAAUGCAGCUCAAAAUGGGUGGUAAAUUCCAUCUAAAGCUAAAUAUUGGCGAGAGACCGAUAGCGAACAAGUACCGUGAGGGAAAGAUGAAAAGCACUUUGGAAAGAGAGUUAAACAGUACGUGAAAUUGUUAAAAGGGAAACGAUUGAAGUCAGUCAUGCUUUCCGAGACUCAGCCGAUUCUGUCGGUGUACUUCUCGGUUGGCAGGCCAGCAUCAGUUUCGAUCUGUGGAAAAGGUUGGAGGGAACGUGG